CUUGAAAAAGGGAGUUCAAGAAGAGCUUCGAAGAAGCUUUCUUGAUGGAGGGGAGUGGCAGACGGGUGAGUAACGCGUGGGAACAUACCCUUAUCUUCGGAACAACUCCGGGAAACUGGAGCUAAUACCGAAUGUGCCCUUAGGGGGAAAGAUUUAUCGGAUAAGGAUUGGCCCGCGUUGGAUUAGCUAGUUGGUGGGGUAAAGCCCUGCCAAGGCGACGAUCCAUAGCUGGUCUGAGAGGAUGAUCAGCCACAUUGGGACUGAGACACGGCCCAAACUCCUACGGGAGGCAGCAGUGGGGAAUAUUGGACAAUGGGCGCAAGCCUGAUCCAGCCAUGCCGCGUGAGUGAUGAAGGCCUUAGGGUUGUAAAGCUCUUUCACCGGAGAAGAUAAUGACGGUAUCCGGAGAAGAAGCCCCGGCUAACUUCGUGCCAGCCGCCGCAGUAACAC
rnacentral:rRNA from 1 species